UUUUUAAAGCAAUUAAGGGCGUAUGGUGGAUGCCUAGGGUCUGAGAGGCGAUGAAGGACGUGGUAAGCUGCGAUAAGCUUCGGGGAGCUGCACACAAGCGUAACAUCCGAAGAUUUCCGAAUGGGACAACCUAAUAUAUUGAAGAUAUAUUACCCCCACAGCAAUGUGAGGGAGCCAACCCGCUGAACUGAAACAUCUAAGUAGGCGGAGGAAAAUAAAAUAACAAUGAUUCCCUGAGUAGUGGCGAGCGAAACGGGAAGAGCCCAAACCAUGGCGGCGUGCUGCCGUGGGGUUGUAGGACUGCAUUUAGAAACUGUUAUCAAGCUGAAUUUUCUGGAAAGUUAAAUCAAAGAGGGUGAUAAUCCCGUAAGCAGAAAUUAACAGGGACGAGCAGUAUCCUGAGUAAGGCGGGACCGGAGAAAUCCUGCCUGAAUCUGCCGGCACCAUCCGGUAAGGCUAAAUACUCCUCAGACACCGAUAGUGAACCAGUACCGUAAGGGAAAGGUGAAAAGUACCCUAAACAAGGGAGUGAAAUAGUACCUGAAACCGUACGCCUACAAGCGGUCGGAGUCUCCACAGCAAUGUGAGGGAUGACGGCGUGCCUUUUGCAUAAUGAGCCUACGAGUUACUCCUCACUGGCGAGGUUAAGUUCUUAAGUAACGGAGCCGUAGCGAAAGCGAGUCCAAAUAGGGCGUUUAGUCAGUGGGGGUAGACGCGAAACUUUGUGAUCUAUCCAUGGGCAGGUUGAAGGUGUGGUAACACACACUGGAGGACCGAACCCGUUGACGUUGAAAAGUCUUGGGAUGACCUGUGGAUAGGGGUGAAAGGCCAAUCAAACUGAGAGAUAGCUCGUUCUCCCCGAAAUGUUUUU
rnacentral:rRNA from 1 species